UUAAAUUGAAGAGUUUGAUCAUGGCUCAGAUUGAACGCUGGCGGCAGGCCUAACACAUGCAAGUCGAACGGUAACAGGAAGCAGCUUGCUGCUUUGCUGACGAGUGGCG
rnacentral:rRNA from 19 species